GACGAACGCUGGCGGCGUGCUAAUACAUGCAAGUAGAACGCUGAAGGAGGAGCUUGCUUCUCCGGAUGAGUUGCGAACGGGUGAGUAACGCGUAGGUAACUGCCUGGUAGCGGGGGAUAACUAUUGGAAACGAUAGCUUAAUACCGCAUAAGAGUAGAUGUUGCAUGACAUUUGCUUAAAAGGUGCAAUUGCAUCACUACCAGAUGGACCUGCGUUGUAUUAGCUAGUUGGUGGGGUAACGGCUCACCAAGGCGACGAUACAUAGCCGACCUGAGAGGGUGAUCGGCCACACUGGGACUGAGACACGGCCCAGACUCCUACGGGAGGCAGCAGUAGGGAAUCUUCGGCAAUGGACGGAAGUCUGACCAAGCAACGCCGCGUGAGUGAAGAAGGUUUUCGGAUCGUAAAGCUCUGUUGUAAGAGAAGAACGAGUGAGAGUGGAAAGUUCACACUGUGACGGUAUCCACCAGAA
rnacentral:rRNA from 1 species